rnacentral:snoRNA from 1 species
CCCAGUUGUAGGCAACUCUAGGUUACACUGUACCUAGGCAAGUAUUCCACUGCUGGGACAAAAGCAGCCAAUAGCUGCCAGGCAUUCUGCACCUGGUUAAUGCCAACUUU